rnacentral:rRNA from 1 species
AUAAAUUUGCUGAGGUAGUGACAAAAAAUACCGAUAUCGGGCUUCGGUUCGACAAUUGGAAUGGGGUCGGUGCAAAUAGCCGGCCGAGCAACCAUUAGAGGGCAAGUCUGGUGCCAGCAGCCGCGGUAAUUCCAGCUCUAAUAGUGUAUACUAACGUUGCUGAUGUUAAAAAGCUCGUAGUUGGAUUUAAGAUGGAGCUAUUCGUCUUUGUGUUUUGUUGAUUCGGAUUGUCUGCGGGAGGCUUAUUUUCUUGUCGUGGGUUGAUUCAUGAUCCCGGCAGGGGAGGGGCGCCCGUAGGCGCCGGAUUAGCCGCAGAGAUUGCUUCGUCAAUUUUAUUUUCGAAUUGUCACGGUCCACUUCACUGUGGUACUGUGGCGGUCCGGAAGGUUUACUUUGAAGAAAAUGGAGUGUUCAAAG